rnacentral:misc_RNA from 1 species
GAAAUGCGAUAAUUAAUGUGAUUUGCAGAAUUCAGUGAAUCAUCGAGUCUUUGAACGCACAUUGCGCCCCCUGGUAUUCCGGGGGGCAUGCCUGUCCGAGCGUCAUUGCUGCCCUCAAGCACGGCUUGUGUGUUGGGCUUCCGUCCCUGGCAACGGGGACGGGCCCAAAAGGCAGUGGCGGCACCAUGUCUGGUCCUCGAGCGUAUGGGGCUUUGUCACCCGCUCCCGUAGGUCCAGCUGGCAGCUAGCCUCGCAACCAAUCUUUUUAACCAGGUUGACCUCGGAUCAGGUAGGGAUACCCGCUGAACUUAAGC